rnacentral:rRNA from 1 species
GAUUUCUGGCCUGAAACAUUUUGCCGGCCACGGUUUCGUGUGUUAGUGCUUUGUGUUCUGGCCAUCCUUCCAAUCGCUAUUCAGCUUUCUUCAUUGAUUGUUGAGUGGUAUUGGAUCUUUUACUUUGAAAAAAUUAGAGUGUUUCAAGCAGGCUUUAUGCUAUGAAUACAUUAGCAUGGAAUAAUAAUCUAGGACUUUCGGUUCUAUUUUGUUGGUGUUCUGGAGCUGAAGUAAUGAUUGAUAGGGAUAGUUGGGGGUGCUAGUAUUCAAUGGCCAGAGGUGAAAUUCUCGGAUUCCUUGAAGACUAACUUAUGCGAAAGCAUU